UAUACAUGCAAGUCGAGCGGACAGAUGGGAGCUUGCUCCCUGAUGUUAGCGGCGGACGGGUGAGUAACACGUGGGUAACCUGCCUGUAAGACUGGGAUAACUCCGGGAAACCGGGGCUAAUACCGGAUGCUUGUUUGAACCGCAUGGUUCAGACAUAAAAGGUGGCUUCGGCUACCACUUACAGAUGGACCCGCGGCGCAUUAGCUAGUUGGUGAGGUAACGGCUCACCAAGGCGACGAUGCGUAGCCGACCUGAGAGGGUGAUCGGCCACACUGGGACUGAGACACGGCCCAGACUCCUACGGGAGGCAGCAGUAGGGAAUCUUCCGCAAUGGACGAAAGUCUGACGGAGCAACGCCGCGUGAGUGAUGAAGGUUUUCGGAUCGUAAAGCUCUGUUGUUAGGGAAGAACAAGUGCCGUUCAAAUAGGGCGGCACCUUGACGGUACCUAACCAGAAAGCCACGGCUAACUACGUGCCAGCAGCCGCGGUAAUACGUAGGUGGCAAGCGUUGUCCGGAAUUAUUGGGCGUAAAGGGCUCGCAGGCGGUUUCUUAAGUCUGAUGUGAAAGCCCCCGGCUCAACCGGGGAGGGUCAUUGGAAACUGGGGAACUUGAGUGCAGAAGAGGAGAGUGGAAUUCCACGUGUAGCGGUGAAAUGCGUAGAGAUGUGGAGGAACACCAGUGGCGAAGGCGACUCUCUGGUCUGUAACUGACGCUGAGGAGCGAAAGCGUGGGGAGCGAACAGGAUUAGAUACCCUGGUAGUCCACGCCGUAAACGAUGAGUGCUAAGUGUUAGGGGGUUUCCGCCCCUUAGUGCUGCAGCUAACGCAUUAAGCACUCCGCCUGGGGAGUACGGUCGCAAGACUGAAACUCAAAGGAAUUGACGGGGGCCCGCACAAGCGGUGGAGCAUGUGGUUUAAUU
rnacentral:rRNA from 1 species